rnacentral:lncRNA from 1 species
ACCUGUGAAACUCACUUUCUAGUCAUAUAUCAAGCAAGCUGAAAGAUAACCAUCAAAUGCAUCUGAAAUGUUGAAUCACAUAAUGCAUAUCAAAUAGUUCUCACCCUCAAGGAGAAGAAAGAAGCACAGUAGUUAUUUCAUGUUCACCAGUUAAGAAAUCAAAAUUACCUUUUAAGUGUAUCAUGAGCUAUGAUAGAACAGUAGAAUGCUGAAAACAAGUGUGCUAACUUAAAUAUACAUCAACAGAGAUACUGACGCACAUUAUAAAUUGAUUGGCUCAAGCCAUUUAUCUAACUAGCAAGUAACCAGGGGAAACACGGCCAAGGUCUAAUGUUAAUUAGAUAAAGAUAACUAACAAUAUAAAUCAAUCUUUAUAUCUCAUGUGAUCAUAUACGUUUUUUUGUCAGGUAUGUGAUCACGAUCAUAUACUUAAAUUCACGAAUUAAGAGAAUUCCAAUUAAAAUUGAAAAAUUCAUACAUCUGUAAUAUAUUCAAAAAGCCAUUAGACCUAGAGUUAUUGCACCUUCAAUAGUAGACACAUCUACUAUACAGUAAAUAAAUGUAUAUAAUGUAUCUUAUGAAAACUGUAAUACAAUUGAAAGAAAGUAUUAAAUAACAAAUAUUAAUAUACAAGUACAUUUCUAAUACGAAUCAAGAUAUAUAAAACUAAAAAUAUUUAAUAGAUAUUAACAUGUAGAGAAAAUAGAAUAUUCUCCCACUACAAAUAAAUCUUGUGGCUGAUUCGACUUAGCAAAUUAAUAUGUGCUUACGAAUAUGAACUGGAUUCUUAUCAAUUUAAAUAUCAUUAUAAGGUAGUAAACUAAAAUCUGAUGAGGAUUAUAAUAAUUUAAAGGGUUGCGAUAAUGGCCAAAAAUGUUGCUUUGAAAGUGGUCUGGUUAUUAAAUAGUUAUAUACUCGAGUUGUGAUGUUUUAGUUUUGUCUAAGUUUGUUGUUAUGCUAUUUCAGUUUUCAUAUAUCCCUCGAUACAAUUUCACUACCCCCAAGACCACGAGCCCGAGUCCCUUGCACUAAUUUUAUAUAGGAUAGGACAUACUAUGACCUGGACCCUCUCAGUACUGUUGGAAAAUCAAUUGACACGUCCCUGAACUAUUCCGGUUUAACUGGUUAGGUACCUGACAAAAGGUUCUGCAUUCCAUGUCCUUUAACUUCUAAAAUUGUUUGGAUUAGGUCCUUCCAUUUAAAAGAUUCCGAUGGACGUCAAACGAUGCAGGCAAUUUUUUUUCAAAACCUGAUUACCCGACUUGUAAAUUGAAGGAAAAAUGAAAUUAAAAACAAAAAUAAGACAUACUAGCUGAUAUAUAGCCGUUAAUAGAUUGUUGGUAUACAAUAUUUAUACCAUCUUACUCUUGGAGCUUUCUUGACAAUUUUUGUGGGGACUCGGGUAUCUCGAACAAUUCUAGUUUAUUUCUUUAAAUUCCGCAACUGUUACGGCUUUUUACUGCGACUGGUGUGUUCUGAGUGAGUAGGUUGACAAUGUAACAGGUGGAGGAACUGCCGGAUGUAAAUUCCGUGGAGCUCGAGUCGUCAGUGUUAGUUAGCGUUUACAAAAAGAAUGAGUAUUGCUUUGUAUAUGUAUUUUCAGUAAGUAUAUGUAUUUACAGAAGUGAAUGUGUAUGCAUAGAUAUUGGGUGUGUAUACAAAGCAGAAAGAUGAGAAAGGGAUGGUGACCACCACCGCGACGGUGGCUAUGGCUGGCUGUGGUGGGUUGUUGAUGGAUGAAAGUGAGGUGAGGGUGAGUAUGUAUGUCGAUUGUCAGGGGACAGUGGGGAGAGAGGGGGAGGGAGAAUAUGACGUGUUGCACUAUUUUUCAAGUCACUUUAGUUCUUAUUUCAAUUCAUCCGAGUAAAUGUUAACCAAGCUACCACACCAGCUAGAUUAUAACGUCCGUUAAAAUCUAACUAAUGGAAGGACUUGAACCAGAUUUUUUAAAAGUUUAAUUACCUGAAAUGCAGAAUCUUUUGUUUACGGAUCUAGACAAUAAAACACGAAUAGUUCAGGGAUGUAUUAUUUAAUUUUCCCAAACUUUAUCUAAUUAUCUAAUAUAAGGACAAUUGUUCAGCUAAUACUCUUUCAUCCUACGUAAUGAGCUAAUUUUCCUCAAUCUGUCCUUUUAAAGAUUUUCUGAGUCUCCUCGUCAGAUUAUGCGUACUUGGUUCUUAAACGUCAUACUAUUUAUUUUGUUCCACGUGAAGAAUCUUAUAAUGAAUCUUACUAAGUCAGUUGCCAGAAGAUCAACCACCAAGUUCUAUCAACAAAAAUAAACCAGAUUAACACCCACUUUCAUAUAGAUGACAUCUAUGUCUUUUGGAAAGUCAAAACAUGACUUCCUAUAGAACACAGGUAAAAAUGCAGUUUGAUGUGAAAAUAUCUAAAGGUUAGACAUGUAAAUUAAUAAUCAAGAAUCGAAGACAUGUGAAAUCUGAUCAGUUUCUAACAACAAUGGGAAGAUCCACAACCACUGUUCACAUCACCACAAUGGAUAUUCACAAAAAGCUUACCG